GAUGAACGCUGACAGAAUGCUUAACACAUGCAAGUCGAUGGGGAAGUGGUGCUUGCACCAUGGCAACCAUGGCGGACGGGUGAGUAACGCGUAAGGGACUUACCUGCAGGACUGGGAUAACAGGGGGAAACUCCUGACAAGACCGGAUAAUGUCAUGGAGCUGCAUGGCUUUAUGAUGAAAGGAGACGCCUGCGGAGAGCCUUGCGUCCUAUUAGCUAGUUGGUGAGGUAAUGGCUCACCAAGGCGAAGAUAGGUAGCCGGCCUGAGAGGGUGGACGGCCACAAGGGGACUGAGAUACGGCCCUUACUCCUACGGGAGGCAGCAGUGGGGAAUAUUGGACAAUGGGGGCAAGCCUGAACCAGCAAUUCUGUGUGCACGAAGAAGGUUUUCGGAUUGUAAAGUGCUUUCAGCAGGGAAGAAGUAAGUGACGGUACCUGCAGAAGAAGCGACGGCUAAAUACGU
rnacentral:rRNA from 1 species